rnacentral:rRNA from 1 species
GACGAACGCUGGCGGCGUGCUUAACACAUGCAAGUCGAACGGAAAGGCCCUGCUUUUGUGGGGUGCUCGAGUGGCGAACGGGUGAGUAACACGUGAGUAACCUGCCCUUGACUUUGGGAUAACUUCAGGAAACUGGGGCUAAUACCGGAUAGGAGCUCCUGCUGCAUGGUGGGGGUUGGAAAGUUUCGGCGGUUGGGGAUGGACUCGCGGCUUAUCAGCUUGUUGGUGGGGUAGUGGCUUACCAAGGCUUUGACGGGUAGCCGGCCUGAGAGGGUGACCGGCCACAUGGGGACUGAGAUACGGCCCAGACUCCUACGGGAGGCAGAAGUGGGGAAUAUUGCACAAUGGGCGGAAGCCUGAUGCAGCAACGCCGCGUGCGGGAUGACGGCCUUCGGGUUGUAAACCGCUUUCGCCUGUGGCGAAGCGUGAGUGACGGUAAUGGGUAAAGAAGCACCGGCUAACUACGUG